GAUGAAGAACGCAGCGAAAUGCGAUAAGUAGUGUGAAUUGCAGAAUUCAGUGAAUCAUCGAAUCUUUGAACGCACACUGCGCCCCUUGGUAUUCCAUGGGGCAUGCCUGUUCGAGCGUCAUUUGUACCUUCAAGCUCUGCUUGGUGUUGGGUGUUUGUCUCGCCUCUGCGCGUAGACUCGCCUCAAAACAAUUGGCAGCCGGCGUAUUGAUUUCGGAGCGCAGUACAUCUCGCGCUUUGCACUCAUAACGACGACGUCCAAAAGUACAUUUUUACACUCUUGACCUCGGAUCAGGUAGGGAUACCCGCUGAACUUAAGCAUAUCAAUAAGCGGAGGA
rnacentral:misc_RNA from 1 species